UCUUCGAUAGCCCAGUCGGUAGAGCAGUGGAUUGUUGACUACAAAGUUGGAAAUCCUUAGGUUGCUGAUUCAACUCUGGCUCGAAGGA
rfam:Xiphophorus maculatus strain JP 163 A Contig374.41, whole genome shotgun sequence.